rnacentral:rRNA from 1 species
AGAAUCAACGCUGGCGGCGUGCCUAACACAUGCAAGUCGAACGAGAAAGUGGAGCAAUCCAUGAGUAAAGUGGCGACCGGGUGAGUAACACGUGACUAACCUACCUUCGAGUGGGGGAUAACAUCGGGAAACCGAUGCUAAUACCGCAUAACAUCGCAAGAUCAAAGCAGCAAUGCGCUGGAAGAGGGGGUCGCGGCUGAUUAGCUAGUUGGCGGGGUAACGCCCACCAAGGCGAAGAUCGGUAGCCGGCCUGAGAGGGCGCACGGCCACACUGGAACUGAAACACGGUCCAGACUCCUACGGGAGGCAGCAGUGGGGAAUUUUGCGCAAUGGGGGAAACCCUGACGCAGCAACGCCGCGUGGAGGAUGAAGCCCCUUGGGGCGUAAACUCCUUUCGACCAAGACGAUAAUGACGGUACUGGUGGAAGAAGCACCGGCUAACUCUGCGCCAGCAGCCGC